rnacentral:tRNA from 1 species
AAGAUACUAGUAUAGGAGCAAUACACUGCUUUGUCAAGGCAGAGCCGUAGGUUAGAACCCUGCGUAUCUUA